UCUUGGUCAUUUAGAGGAAGUAAAAGUCGUAACAAGGUUUCCGUAGGUGAACCUGCGGAAGGAUCAUUAUAGAGAGCUUCGGCUCCCUGUAUGCUAUUACCACAAUGUUAUUCAAUUCUAUGUUGCUUCCACUGCCUGUAUGGUGGUGGGGGGUUUUUCAUACUAUUCUUUUUGCUUAGACCUUUAAUCUGUCUGAAUAUGGGAAAUUAUUACAAAACUUUCAACAACGGAUCUCUUGGCUCCUGCAUCGAUGAAGAACGCAGCGAAAUGCGAUAAUUAAUGUGAAUUGCAGAAUUCCGUGAAUCAUCGAGUCUUUGAACGCACAUUGCGCCUCAUGGUAUUCUGUGAGGCAUGCCCAUCUCAGCGUCAGUAGAUAUUAUCAAAUUUUGACAUUGUCAUUAUUUGGAUCAGGUCGAGGAAGCUAUUAUUACUAUUAAUGUGGAUAGCUCCUUGGAAAUUCAUAGGUCUUCAAGUUGCUAUCAUUAGAACGUGAUGAAAAUUCCUUCGUUCAUAUGUAGUUCCCUUGUAUAGUCCUAAAACACAUAUACCUUUAUGGUAUUUUUUCAAUUUGACCUGAGAUC
rnacentral:rRNA from 1 species